AGGUGAAUUUCGCUCGCUGGCCUGCCGCUCACCUCCUGCUGUGCCGCCCGGUUCCUAAAAGGCUGAGCACAGGUACGGGUCCAUUGUCCAGGGGUUGGGGAACCCUGCUCUAAGUUCUUGGGACAGAAAUAACAAAAAAGAGGUUUUGCUGGGCCACAGCUGCUACUAAAUGUUACCCAUUCUGAACCAAAGAACAAGAGACAUCCCUGAUCCCACCCUCCUCAACCCAAGAAAAAAUACUGAGUCCUGAAAUUCCCAUUAUAAAUGGAAUCUUUUUGGUUAAGUUGGCAUCGCUCUUGGAAAGAGGGUCAGUCAAUCCAAGAGGACCAUCCCCAAACUUGGGCUUGCCAUUAACCUUUCCUAGGAUUCAUGUGUGCAGGGCCCAGCCAGCACGGUUUGCCGAGAGAAUGAGACACCACAGGUGAGCAUCACUGGUUCAAAACCUGGAGGGAGAAAGAGAAAGAUGCUGGGCAGCCUUGCCUGGAAAGGCCUGGAAAGCCCCAGCCCCAAGAGAGCACUUUAAGCAUGGAGGCAUCUGGAGACGGGUGGCUGCUCAACUCUGCAGAGGGCCAGCUCUUGUUUGCCUCUAAGUGAUUUCUGAUAUAUUUCCAAGCACAAAAUCAAACUUUCUUCUUUAAGAUUCUUAACGAUGGAAUUCCUUGGCGGUCCAGUGGUUAGGACUCCACACUUCCACUGCAGCGGCACAGGUUCCGUCUCUGGUCGGGGAACUAAGAUCCCAUAAGCCAUGUGGUGUGGCCAACCCCCCCCCAAAAAAAACCAAAAUCAAAACAAAACAAAACAAAUCAAAACAAAAAAGAAUCUUAACGAAUGUUCCUGCGUGUGUCCUAGAUUUUUCUAUGACAGGGAUGUUUUGGACAUCUCUUGUCCUUGCCCAGGCUGAGGCAGGAGAGGCAAGGUGCAGCACCCUACAGCCCCAGAAGGGCCUUGUCAGAGCACACUGUGCUGAGAGGUCACAGGUGGCAGAAACUGCUGGCCUCUCUUUCCACAGCCCACAGGAAACAUUUGCAUGUCUAACACUUUCUGCACAAAGCGGCCCAUGGUAGCAAUGCCCAGAUGUGGUUCCCAAGCUGUUCAUGGCACUGCUUUGUGAUUCAUCCUUUCUACACGGUCUCUGGGAGUCCAGUGGGGGCAUCCAAACCUUCCUGUUGUCUAUGUUCGGUAAGCAGAAUGUUAAAAUUUUAGAAAUUCCUUGCUUUCACUCCUUUUAGAGGUAAAAUAGUAAUUAGCAGAAGCAAGCGUUUGUUUCUUGGGGAUAUGUUUGUGAAAACAUAACAAAACUUUUUAUUUAUGACUUGCAUUAGUUAUUUCAAGCUUAAGAAAUGUGCCCUUUUGAAAAAGUUGGAAAAAUAACAUGUUAAAGAGGGAGAAAUUACUUACACCAUUGUUCCUGGGUUGAAUGGUGACACAGAUAAUUUAGUCAAAACAUAUCUUUAACCAUUUUUUGGGUGCGAUAAGUUUGUGAGUCUCUGAUUAGAGCUGGCUGAAUGUUUCCCCCAGAAUAAUGGGUUUUGAGCAUUAAUAAUAAACCUCUAACUUUCACAAGCAAUUGCUAUGACUUUAUUCAUAUGCAAUAAGGCCCUUCUAACAGAUUAUACAGUUAACUUUCUGCAGUUAAAAUGAAUGAAAUAUUAAUGGUUUUUGAGGAAUCCAAUGGAAUUAAGUUAAAACACAUUGACUUCUACCACUUUAUGACCAGUUAAAAUAUAUUUUUCAUUAUUUGAAAUCGUUUUCUCCCAACAUGUAGUAAUGGUGGGAGAAUUAAAUGACACCGAAAAUUCUGGAAAUGAGGAGAAAGGGACUAGAACCGCAAGCACCAGGCAGAUGAAGAGAGAGAAGAGUCGUUUAGCGAACCUGUAUCUUUUGGUUGGAGCAUUUAAUCCAUUCACGUUUAAGGGUACCUUAUUUGGUGAGUUCCAGUGUCUUCCUGUUGAUGAUUGUUCAGCAAUUAGUUGUGAUUCCGGUGCUCUCGCAAGAGGGAGUGAGUACACGUACUUCUACUCUGCCAUCUUGAACCGAUCUCUCAUAAUGGUUUUAAUUAAGUAAAAUUGGAAGUUAAAAAAAAUAAACAAAGAUAAUCAAGCAACAUUUGUCCUUUACGCAACAAUGUUCUGCAAAAACCACUGUUGAUUUCAUUAAUUUACAUGUCACAAAACAAUUAGCUUUGUUGACCCAUCUCUCUCAGAGUGUGGGUGCAUCUGAAUUUUUUCCUAAUUAUGUUUAUAAGGAGUGUCGACUAUAAAGGGUGUUGAGUAGUUCAAAUACACGAUUAGUAUUGUAAUUACUACAACUGGGGGUAAAAAAUGCCAUCCCCUGUUCAUUUUGUCCCACCGUUAACAUGUAAAUUGUGGAGUGGGAUGUGGAGGGUCAUUUGGGGAGGGGGAAUAAAGUUAGGUCCCCAAAUCAGAGCAGCCUGCCGCACAGAGAGCUUGACUCCACACUCGUGUCCAUAGUCCUUUGCCUCAAAGUCUGAUCGAUAAGAACAUGAGGAACCAGGAACCCAAGCCCAAAUAAGCUUCCAAAUGGGAAUUCUUACAACGCUUUUGAAGGAUGUAUGGCUGAGGUGAUUUGUUACAGUCUUAAUUCCAAAGCUUUAUUCAAGUCUUGCCAGGCUCUCCUGAGCUCAGAAGCCAUCAUGGGCUGAAGAAUGAAACUCUGUCGUGGCAGGAGGAGGGGGUGAUGAAUCUUUCUUUUUUUUUUUUUUAAUUUAUUUUUUAUAUAUAUUUUUUAAAUUAAUCUUUUUAAAAAAAUAAUUAUUUAUUUUUGGCUGCGUUGGGUCUUCGUUGCUGCACGCGGGCUUUCUCUAGUUGAGAUGAGCGGGGGCUAUGCUUCGUUGCGGUGCGCGGCCUUCUCAUUGUUUCUUGUUGCGGAGCACAGACUCUAGGUGCACAGGCUUCAGUAGUUGUGGCACAUGGGCUUAGUUGCUCUGCGGCAUGUGGUAUCUUUCUGGACCAGGGCUUGAAUGUGGGUCCCCUGCAUUGGCAGGCAGAUUGUUAACCACUGCGCCACGAGGGAAGUCCCGAUCUUUCUUUUUGAUUCAAAGAAGAAGAAAAAGUAAAACAAAACCCCAAGUCCCAUUGUACCAUUUAAAUGGAAGUUUUUGCCAACUACAAAAAGAUGUUUGAGGGAUAAUAAAGGAAACUGAAUAUGGACUAGCUCUCAGAUACUAUCAGAGAAUUAGUAAUAUUUUUAGGAGAGAGAAUAGCCUUGUAGUCAUGAAGGGAAAUGUGCUUACUUUUAGGAGAUAGGUGCUGAAGGGGUAAGUUAUGAUAUCGAUAACUUAAUUUCAACAUAUAUUGAAAAUACACAUACACACAGAGAUAAAACAAAUAUGGUACAUAUUAGCAAUAGUGAAAUUUCGAUACUGGGUAUAUGGGCAGUCAUUGAACAAGUCAUUAGAGGUCUGUGUAUCAGUUGGAAAUGUUUCUGGCUGCAAGCAAAAGAAAACUCAACUGGCAAGGUCUGAAUCUCAAAGAACCUUCAUUACUUACUAAACAAGAAGUGUACAAGUUAUCCAGUCAGGGUUGUUUCAGCAAUUGAGUGAUGCCUUCAAGGCCCCGGCGGUUCUUCCCAUCUGCCUUGUCGCCCUCAGCCCACUGGCUUCUGACAGUGUCAGUUUAUGACUGCGAGGCCGCUGCUACAGCUCUAGGCAUCACAGCCACAGUCAAAGGCAAAGCGAUGGGUGAGGAAGAGCAAAAGCAAACUCUCCUCUUGCACUUGAUUCUUUUAUCAGAAAGCAAAAUCUUGGGGUUGGGGGGAGGGAUAAAUUUGGAAUUUGAAAUAAACAGAUACACACUACUAAAUAGAAGGUAGAUAAACAGCAAGGACCUACUGAAUAGCACAGGGAACUAUAUUCAGUAUCUUAUAAUAAGCUAUAAUGGAAAAGAAUCUGAAAAAGAAUAUAUAUAUACAUACAUAUAUAUAUAUAUGUAUAUAUAUAUAUGUAGCUGAAUCAGUUUGCUGUAUACCUGAAAUAUUGUAAAUCAACUAUACUUCAAAAAAAAAAAACCCACAAAGAGAUAUCAUCUCACACCUGUUAGUAUGUGUAUAAUUAAAAAAAAAAAUAGAUGUUGGCAAAAAAAGAAAAAGAAAGCAAAAUCUUUCCCAGAAGCCCCCAGGAGACUUCUCCUUCCACCUCAGUGGCUAGAACAGUCAGAGGCCAAUCCUAGCUACAGGGGGUCUGGGAAAUGCCAUCACAAUAAGUGACUUACAUCAGUUGUGAUUCAUCCCCUGGGGCUAGGGAUGCACUGUCUCCCAGAGCAAGAUUGACGUUCUGUUAACAGAAAAAGGGGAAAUGGCAGCUAUUUCCCAUGUGUUAAACAUAUGCUCUUUUUCUCUAGAGAGGAUAUGGUUCUGCUUUACUAGGUAACAGAAAUGAUUUUAAAUGAAAGUAGAACCAAAAUUCAUUCUUCACUAUAUCCUGUUGCUGUUUAACAGGAAAGUAAAUGGUGCCCAAAAGAGACUUUAGCUUUCUUGUCUUCCUGGACAGGGUCUCUUUAGUCCAGUGAAAUAGAAACUCUAACCAGCCUUGAAAUCUAUCUUUUGUUUCACUUUCAAGUUUUAUAAUACAUUUCAAUAUACAGUUUGCUUUUAAAGCUUGUCCUCAUUGUGAUGGACAUUAGGCAGCAGGAUAGAAUAUAUACUACCGCUCAUCCUAUUUUUAGCCACAGUUGAUCUAGUGUCCUCUCUUUGCAAGGAUUUGUGAUAGGUGAGUUACAUGUUCUCUCAUUUGUGUAAGAAGGAUGUGCUUGCCUAUUGCAAAAAGCCCCAAUUCAGUCUGAGUCAUCAGACUUAAUAAAGAGAAAACCAGAAGCUUUCAGCAAUUGUUCUAACUUCUACUUUCUCCCCAACCUGUGUGAGGCCAAUCUAAGAUAAUCUCGACAUCUGGGCUGUUUAAAUGGAAGUUCUGAUCAGAGCAAGUAAUAGUCCUAACUAGAGUUCCCUCCUGUCCUCUUCCCUAGCCCUUGGCCCCAAAGUAGGCUUUCUUUUAGAAAGAAUGCUGCACACUCAUUGUAGAUGGAUUAAAAUGAAUCCCCAGACCAAUAAUAGCCGCCUAACCAUCACUGGGAGCCGUAGUCAUGUGUCCUUGGGAGGCAGACAUAGCCUUGCCUGGCCUGGGCCAGAAGGUCUUUGCGUGUCCGGAUGUCCCUCAAGACCACAAUGGCACAUUUGUCUGAUGAUUUAGCAUUUGGUGUUAAUGGCUGGCAUUGUGCUCAGGUAUAUCAUGGCUGGCUGUCCCCUGUUUCUGGGUACCUUCUGGUUGUGGCUGACUGUGACACUGACUGCUACAUCAGGGCUCUGUGGCAGGGCUGGCUUGGAGCAGGCCCAAGAGCCCCCUUUUCUCUACUAUGUCAACCAGCACCAACCCCAUCCCCCCACCCAGUGUCCCUGACUCAAGUAUUUUAUUGGGGCUACACUGUAGCCUAUGGCUUGCCUGUCUCCCUGCGGUGACCCCUGGGAGACAUCCCAUUGCUGAUAGAAGCCACGUGACUAUUCUACCUCCAAACUUAGAUUUAACGCUUAGGAUAAAUAUUUCAGUGAUUCUCUCCAGUGUUUUUUUGCAUUCUUAUUUAUUUAUUUUUGGCUGCACUGCAUCUUCAUUGCUGUGCACAGGCUUUCUCUAGUUGUGGCGAGCAGGGGCUACUCUUGGUUGUGGUGUGCGAGCUUCUCACCGCAGUGGCUUCUCUUGUUGUGGAGCUCUAAGUGCACAGGCUUCAGUAGUUGCAGCAUGCGGGCUCAGUAAUUGUGGCUCGCGGGCUCUAGAGCGCAGGCUUAGUAGUUGUGGCACACGGGCUUAGCUGCUCCGUGGCAUGUGGGAUCUUCCUGGACCAGGGAUUGAACCUGGGUCCCCUAAAUUGGCAGGUGGAUUCUUAACCACCGUGCCACCAGGGAAGUCUGAAACAUUUCUCUUUAACUUAAAUAUAGUAAGGGCACAUCACUUAAAAAAAAAAAAAGGAUCAAUGUCCUGGAGGAUGGGAGAGAGAGGUGUGGUGAGGAGUGGCUUUGCUGGGCGCCCAUAGAAACAGGAGGUAAAGGUGGAGCCACAGGUGUGGGCAGGUGGGAAGGUGUAAUGGUGGGAAGUGAAGGAAGUCCUCUUCCACUGCUUUUAUAUCUUUAGUGGCUUAGCAAACAGGCUAUCAGCGCAGAGUGAGGGUGGGAAAUGUUCCAAGAGAGAAGAGAAAUCAGGAAAGUAGGAAAGUAAAUGGAUGAGAAAAACACAGUGUGAGGGUGGGCAGCCUAAAGCCCCGCUUAUGUUUAGUGAUAACGUAUUUGAAGGGAGAUCAGCCAAUGGCGAGUAAUGUACCCCCGGCCAGAACCUCUCCUCUCACUGGGCCAGAUGGAAGAUCGAAUAACAAUCCAGAGAAUUCCUGAUGUGAGGGGCCAGCUCGCAACAAAUUCUUGCUAGUAGCUGGGGGCCAGCAGGGCCGUCCUAGAGCAGACUGGGCUACCAGCCAAAGACCCUGCUCUUCAGUGCAGUAACCGUCACUGGAAGAUUUGUCCAUUGCUGGGCUGUGAUGUGGAUAGCAAAGUGCUGAUGCCUCAGGCAUUGCUGAGGUGGUGAAGAGUGGAGGUGCACCUGGGGAAAGGCCACAGGGUUGGUGAUAUCUGCACAUGUGAAGGACCCAAGGCACUAGUUUUCCAGCACUGAGCUGCGUGGCUGGGUGGUGCUCCUGUGUCAGGAGAUGGUAUGACCAACUUUGACAGCCUUCCUCAGUGCCUUCUGUUGCCCUUUGGGUUCCAGAAAGCCUCCUAAGUGACCUGCCAUAGUUCCUCCAUGACUGGCUUGUGGAGUGACUGGGUGAUACCCACCCCCGUCUAACAGGAAACUCAUCACACUAGGUUGUGAGUCAUUGUCUGUUGUUUGUUAUCCCUGGAUAACAGAAGAGUGAGAACCCUAACUUUUUUUUACCACUUUAUCUCUAGUGCCUGGCAGAAUACCUGAAAGACAGUAGAUGCUCAUUAAGUUUUGAAUGUGUGAAUACAUAAAAGAGGGCUGGCAGGAAGGAGGGAUGGAACGGAGGGAGGGAGGAAGGGAGGAAGGAAGGAAGGACGGAAGGAAGGAAGCAAGGAAUUCUUGUUACUAUAUCAGGGCUAUUCUGGAGGAGGGUUGUUUAAAUUGGUGGUAGCCUGUAUAGAAGUUAUAGCAAUGCAGGUAGGUGGAGGGUGGUGGGAGCUGAUGAAAAGGGCUUUAGCAGGGCUCUCUAAAAUGAGGAAGACACACUGGAGGUUGCAGCGAGAGACCAGAAAGACUGGGACGUCAGUGGCUGGCACAGAUGGGGAUCAGGUGCUAUUUUGGUGAGGUUGUCAGAAAGGUGAGAAUAAAGAAUGAUGGUCAAGAUGGGUAGGAGGGAAGCAGGAGAGGGUUCCUGGGUGAAGAGCUGAGACAGACCCGCAGCUCAGCAGGUGUAGUGGGUGUGUUUGAAAGGCCCCUGCAGAGAUGAGGCCCCUGCAGCUGGGCAUCCACAGAGGAGCCCAGUGGCUUUAAUGAUCGGCCUCUCUUUCCUAUUCUUUCUGGAAAGAAGGGAUCUCCCCUGCACUUGCUUCAUCCUCCCCACUUCCUACUCUCUCUGACUUGGUACUUUACACCCCAGCCUCUGGAUUUUCUUGUUUGCAGUUUGCUCUCUCUUUUCUCCAGACCUUCGAACCCAUGGUUCUCCUGACCUAGAAAGCUAGCUCCACCCUCAAACCUCCUUCCUAGUGACUCCCUCUUGGCCCUCAGAUUUUGCUGAGGGAUAACGUCCCCUUGAAGUACUUGCUCUGCCUUCCCAGGUUGAGUGGCUGCCAUUUCUAUGUUCUUCAUCACACUCUGGGCUACUUCCUUUAAAGCACAUAUCUCAGUGCAAUGGCUUGCUUACUUCUCUGACUCCAUCUCUAGAUACGAGAAAAGGGAUAUGGUUAAAUAUUUCCCUAGUGGUCACUCAAUGGCAAAUAAAUCAAAGAAAACAAAGCAGAAGCCCUGAGAAUCCUCUCACUUGUUGAACAAAACCAUGUGCUUUUCUGUUGCCUGUGUUUUUAUUUCGCACCAGGCUAGUGUCUGAAAGCAAACUCAUGCCAAACAGGAUUUCACUUUCUCUGAGUUAACAGGCAAAAUUUGCUUUAAAGAAAUAUAAACACAUAUUUCCAAAUGAUAAACAUUAUGAAAUAGUAAAAAAAUAUACAUAUAUAUAUAAUUUUUUUUUUUUUUUACUAUUUCAUAAUGUUUAUCAUUUGGAAAUAUGUGUUUUAGGAGCAACUUUGACCUACCUCAUCAGUCCAAGAUUUUUGAUUUAUGUAAGCUGUGCCUUAUCAAUACGGGUAAGAUGAAUCAAAAUGAAAUUAAUAUAUUUUGAAUGGUUAAGAGAACUGUAAUAGACAAUUAGAAUGUCUCGAAAUAACUGAUGCAAAAUGUGUGUAUAUUUUUGUUAAAAAAUGUUUUGAAUUACAAACUCUAGCACAAAUAGAGGAAAGUGCAUCAUGUAUAUAUAUACAUAUAUAUAUGGAACAAUUAUAACAAACACUUAUAAAGUGAAUACAUGAAACCACCACUCAAGUCAAAAGCUAGGAUGUAGCCAGCACCCAAGAAGUCCCUCAUAGGGUCCUUCUCAAUUAUACCCCUUCCUCACAAAGGGAAGUAGCCAGGAGCCCCACUUUUCUGGCAUUUACUUCCUUGCU